GCGGGGAUCUAGGUUGCUGCUCCUUUGAGUCGUCCUUAACCCUCAUCAUCUUCAGAUGACUUGAGGUUAAAUCCUUGCAUGGGAGGCUUUGGUUACCCAGGAGACCGUGUUGGCAGAAUGUGCCCGUGUUCUGUGUGGAGCUCUUCCCCCAGCGCACCAGCUUGGCAACAGUUCAUUAUGGAAACUGCCAGCAGUGUCCUUGCCUCUUCAACUGAGGGAAACAGCGAUGAGGACAGUGUUUUUCAUCCCAGGCCAAAACAAAAGAAGAAAUGAGAAACCGGCACGUGCAGAUCUCCAGUGAACGCGCUGUGCGCUCCUCGGUUUUGCGGUCCAAGACACAGGCUCCGCGGUCCCUCCCGACGUCCCCAGGCCUCGUCGGCACAGGCGGGGCUCUGGAAGCAGCCAGAUGACAGGGCACAGCUGUUGCUCUUAGGAGGGGCGCCCCUCCCUGCUCCCUUUCACUGUCUGCCCCUUGUCUGGCCCGAGGCGGGCAGGUCUCCUUUGGGCCUGCCCCUCUGCCGCGACUGUGGAUCCAAACCUCGGCACGGCACGCUGAGCUAAAAUAACCCUCUCCUGCUCUGCGCUCCGGGCGCCGGGGGACCAGAACGGGACCAAGGCCGAGUCCAAGCUCGGUGAGUACCAGCAUGGUCUGGCCCAGGGUGCUCGGCCCCGAGAACGCCCCGCGGCUCCAGCACCCACAGCCCGGCGUCUGCCCAUUGCCUUCCGAGUGGGCCGGCGAGGGGUCAGCGCAGGGAGAAUUCAAGCCACUCAGGGCAGACACCAUAUGGCUCCCGAACCUGCCAACCCGAGCCUGCGGACAGCCGGAGCAUCAGCCUCCUACACCCUUGUGUAGCCUCGUGGCGGGGCACACCUGUGAUCCCAGCUCUCUUGGAGGCUGAGGCAGGAGGGUUGCGGAGAGCUCCAGGCCAGCCUGGGCUACAGAGUGAGACCCUGACAAAACGGAGUCCCGAGGCAAAAGAAAGAGACUCACAGCUGUUCACGAGCUGUGUCACAACCCAGCUGUACGGGCAGCAACGCUCUGACCGCCAGACGCAAGCUCAGCCCCAAUUUUCCGUGCGAGCUGUCUGCCCACGGUGGGAAAGCCUCCGGGGUCUCCCCGCUUUGCGCACAUUGCCUUGUCCAGUCCCCCGCCAGGAGUAAGGGAGACGGAGUGAAGCUGGUGUGAAAUGUAAAGGAGGGAUCCCCCAAACACCCCGACUCAGUACAGAUGUAAGUAAUAUUUCAGGGCCACAUUAAAAAGUAAAAGUCCAUGCAAAAAAUCCAUGCUGAGAAAAAUAUCAAUAUUUUAAAUAAA